rnacentral:rRNA from 1 species
UACAGGGGGUGCAAACGUUGCUCGGAAUCAUUGGGCGUAAAGCGCACGUAGGCGGUCUGUUAUGUCGGAUGUGAAAGCCCUCGGCUCAACUGAGGAAGUGCAUCCGAAACUGGCAGGCUAGAGUACCAAAGAGGGUCGCGGAAUUCCCGGUGUAGAGGUGAAAUUCGUAGAUAUUCGCAAGAACACCAGUGGCGAAGGCGGCUCACUGGCCCGGUACUGACGCUGAGGUGCGAAAGCGUGGGGAGCAAACAGG